rnacentral:tRNA from 1 species
GGGGUUGUGGCUCAGUGGUAGAGCACUCAUCUAGCAUAUGUGAAGCACUGGGUUCAAUCCUCAGCACCA